rnacentral:tRNA from 1 species
GCGCCCAUCGUCUAGGGGUCAGGACACGGCCCUUUCAAGGCCGGAACACGGGUUCGAAUCCCGUUGGGCGUACCA